rnacentral:misc_RNA from 1 species
UCCGGCUUAUCACCGGCAGUUUCCUUAAAGUGCCCGGCAUUACCCGCUGGUAACUAAGGAUGAGGGUUGCGCUCGUUGCGGGACUUAACCCAACAUCUCACGACACGAGCUGACGACAGCCAUGCAACACCUGUAAUGGUCCAACUAAAUGACUCAUGAAUUUCUUCACGAUAUAACCACUAUGUCAAGGCCUGGUAAGGUUUUUCGCGUAGCAUCGAAUUAAACCACAUGUUCCACCGCUUGUGCGAGUCCCCGUCAAUUUCUUUGAGUUUUAACCUUGCGAUCGUACUCCCCAGGCGGAGCGCUUAAUGCGUUAGCUACGACACUAAGAUCUAAGUCCUAAUAUCUAGCGCUCAUCGUUUACUGCGUGGACUAC